rnacentral:misc_RNA from 1 species
GAUGAAGAACGUAGCGAAAUGCGAUAAGUAGUGUGAAUUGCAGAAUUCAGUGAAUCAUCGAAUCUUUGAACGCACAUUGCGCCCCUCGGUAUUCCGUGGGGCAUGCCUGUUCGAGCGUCAUUUAACCCCUCAAGCCUAGCUUGGUAUUGGGUGCUUGUCCCGCCUCUCGCGCGGCGACUCACCUCAAAGUCAUUGGCAGCCCGCAUCUCGCCGGCCGUGAGCGCAGCACAGACGCGCUCUUGGCAACGACGGAUCGGCUCUCCAAAAGCUUAUUUCAACCACUGACCUCGGAUCAGGUAGGGAUACCCGCUGAACUUAAGCAUAUCAAUAACGGAGGA